rnacentral:rRNA from 1 species
AUUGAACGCUGGCGGCAUGCUUUACACAUGCAAGUCGAACGGUAACAGGCCGCAAGGUGCUGACGAGUGGCGCACGGGUGAGUAAUGCAUCGGAACGUGCCCAGUCGUGGGGGUUAACUACUCGAAAGAGUAGCUAAUACCGCAUACGAUCUAUGGAUGAAAGCGGGGGACCGUAAGGCCUCGCGCGAUUGGAUCGGCCGAUGUCAGAUUAGGUAGUUGGUGGGGUAAAGGCUCACCAAGCCAACGAUCUGUAGCUGGUCUGAGAGGACGACCAGCCACACUGGGACUGAGACACGGCAAAGACUACUACGGGAGGCAGCAGUGGGGAAUUUUGGACAAUGGGCGCAAGCAUGAUACAGCAAUGCCGCGUGCAGGAAGAAGGCCUUCGGGUUGUAAACUGCUUUUGUACGGAACGAAACGGCUCUGGUUAAUACCCGGGGCUAAUGACGGUAACGUAAGAAUAAGCACCGGCUAACUACGUG